CCUACGGGAGGCAGCAGUGGGGAAUAUUGCUCAAUGGACGAAAGUCUGAAGCAGCGAAGUAGCGUGAAGGAUGACUGCCCUCUGGGUUGUAACCUUCUUUUGUAGGGAAAUAGACUGUUCCACGUGUGGGCUUUUGUAUGUACCCUAUGGGUAAGGAACGGCUAACUCCGUGCCGGCCGCCGCGGUAAUACGGAGGGUCCGAGCGUUAUCCGGAUUUAUUGGGUUUAAAGGGAGCGUAGGUGGAUUGUUAAGUCAGUGGUGAAAGUUUGCGGCUCAACCGUAAAAUUGCAGUUGAAACUGGCAGUCUGGAGUAUAGUAGAGGAGGGUGGAAUUCGAGGUGUAGCGGUGAAAUGCGUAGAUAUCACGAAGAACACCGAUUGCGAAGGCAGCUAACUGGAACGCAACUGACACUGAGGAGCGAAAGCGUGGGUAUCAAACAGGAUUAGAUACCCGAGUAGUC
rnacentral:rRNA from 1 species